GGGGAGGGGGGAGAGGGUGGAUCCUUAUUUAUUUAUUUACUUACUUACUUAUUUCCAUAAGGACCUGUCGCCUGCCUUCGAGGUUGUGUUGAUAUUUUUUUUCCUCCUUUUUUUUUUUUUUCCCUCCUCUCUCCUCUAAUUGCUCAGAGUGGGUCAUGUCCCCCUCUUCCCACUCCCCCGGGAAGAUUCCCCCAACUCUGUGCAGACAUCUGUGACCCACCCAGCCUUGCACACAGAUACACACUCCAUUUCUGGCUGCCGGCGCCACCAACCACAGCUCGGCGCCUCCGGAGGCUGCUCAAGGACCUGGACACGGGAGCCGCAGGACUCAGCGCUCGGCCUGGGCGCUUGGCUGCCCGGCAGCCACUGCAGCUGCCCCACUCACCCCUGCCAAUUCUUGAUUUCAAGAGCAGGGGGAGAGCGGUGGCCCCACCAGCCCCUUUUGUGCCACUGGGCAAAGGCUGAAAUCCCUCUUGCAGUUUCAAUAAUUGUUCAGCUCACCUUACAAUCCCACUGUUUGGUUAAGGUUUUGCUGUUCUAGGGCGACUGCUCAGUUGGCCCAACUGGCUUCUGAUUAGAAUUUUUUAACUUAAAAAUUAAAAAAUAAAUCCUACUCCAAAUG